AAAAUGGAUAUUCCUCCUGUGUCAGCACGUGCUCAAUCUGCAGGAUCACCAAGUCCAUUCAUGAAAAAUAUCAAAGCUAUUGCGGCGGUAACUACACUGAUGAGUCUUGGUGUACUUGGAGCAGCAGCAGCUCUGUAUUUUUCAGCUUCCUGUUAAAGAUAAGUAAUGAGUAACGACAAAUCCAAAAAAUCCAAAAAGAUAAACCCCCAAAGUCGUCGAAAAACGCCGAAAAAUACGAAAUUAAAUCGGAGAAAAA